CGACGCUCUAACUGUUUCUCUCUAUUUUUACAGAGAAAACGUCGCAAUCUCUUCCUGCUGCUUCUGGUGCUGCCGGUGCUGCUUGUAUUUUCCUUCAUUCGCCUACUCUCCCGUCCCACUCGCUCCUUCAUCAGACAUGCACCUCUUGGGCGUGGAGCUGUGGUGUUGCCGCUGCAACCGCUACCUCAUCAUUGACACCAUCAUCUCUGUCGUGGUGGCGGCGGUGUGUGUGCCGGUGUUCAUCACUGUCAGCGCAGCCCGUGCGUACACCGGAAUCCUCUUGGGUGCUGCUGUCAUUGUCUUGUGCAGGCUCUGGAGGUUUCUGCCGUCGCACAAACGAUGGGUGGACCAGCAGGCAUGCAAGAUGGCGGCCAAGCUCGUGGCGGAGAGGCGCAUCGUGCGGCCACCAACGCAGCUGCCAUGGCUGCCGCCGGAAGAUCCGUCAAAUGGCCGAAAGGAUGCUGUGGCGUCGCCGCUCUAUUACCCCUGCGCCACACCUUCCUCGGCCCCUUCUUGCAACUAUUACUGCGGUGCUCCUGUGUCUGGUUACGACGUGCCAUCACUUCCGUCUCCUUUCACGGAUGGUGGGCCCCUGCCGUACAGAGGCUACACAGUGCCGCCUCCGACGCCACCGCCGCCGCCGCCGCUGACGAUGCGCUCGUCCUUCUCGUCCCCUCGUUCUCCAUCACCUUCUGGCCCGCUGGGCCGUUCCCCCUGCUCGCUGCUGCUCCUGCCUCCCUCACCGCUGCCUCAGCAGCAGGUAGACGACCAUACUAUGCUCGACCGCAACGGGUCCCCCGCAUUCUCUCAUCGUGUCUCCAUGGCAUCGCUCACAUCUUCUGGGCGGCACAGCUCCGUGGCCGCCAUCGCAGGUGAGGGUGACGCAAGGGUAGACUUGAUGCAUUCUUUACCCGCGCCACCCGUGCCACUGGCGCUGCAGGGCGCCUCUUACGCCAGUCUCGAAGUCAAAUCGCUCGCGGCGAAUGCAUCCCGCUCGCGUCAGGGGUCGCACUACCUGCGCAGCGGCGCUUCGCCUUCGUCUGUGUUUCUUUCCUAGGGCGGUGACACAUCGCUUAGCGGUAGCAGUCAUCACCUCCGUCGCCAGCGGAGUCGCUCUUCCUCUCCGCCCUACUCCUUCCUUGGAGAACGACCUCUGUGCCAGGGGCAGCCGUCGGCCUCCCCGUCCCGCUUUCCCAUUCCGGCAUCCCCUGCGCUGCACUACGUCUGAGUGAACAAGGGUGUUUCAAGCCGCAUCGCAGCGCUUUAGCGUACUACCUACCGUGUCUGGGGAGACCCCCCUUCCCCCCUACCCCCAUCCACGUGCGCACCUCACGGCUAAUCCUUCUCAGCCUGCCUCUCUCCAAAGAAGUACCCAAGUGGCCUCGCCGUUUUCUCCGCUCCCUCCGUCAGCGCCUGCUCCGUCUCUGCUUCCCAACUCGUAUUUUGUGCCUUUGUUAUUCGUCUCGUUUUCUCCCUCCCUCCCCCUCUCCUGCCCAACCGCUGGCGCGGCGACGGAGUGGCGAGGGGGCGGCUUCUCGCUAUCCCGUGUUCUUUACGGAUCCCUCUCCCUUUUGGCUUAUUCCCUUCUCCCCCUCCUGCGCGUGUUGCUGUCACGGUGCACGUCUGCGCUGUGACACGGUGCUCGUGUGUGUUUGUUUAGGUCGCUCUUUGUAUCACCCCAAGAGUGGGGGAGGGGCCGUUGAUGAGUGGCGUCGGCGCGAUUUUGCACCCUCCGCUCUUGUCCCGCACAACGGGGUACAGCGACAGGCCGCUGCCUCAUCGGGGCGAGAGAGAAGGAAGCGCGGUGCAGAAACGCCUUUCUGCUUUCUUUUUUUCGAUUGCAGAUGCAUUCGUGUCUCUAAUUUCGACGUUGGCAGCGUCAAGCUCCCGUGCAACAGCACCUCGGGCUUGGCAUUUUUCUUCCGGCCAAGGGCGAGGGCUGACACUCACUCCAUUUCUGUGGUCGCGCACGGGCACAGUGCACACUAAGCGCACCCCUCACGUAACAGUGCAUGUCCUUCCCACUCCGUGAUCGACUUCCAUCUUGUACCUCCAGACCC
rnacentral:misc_RNA from 1 species